rnacentral:rRNA from 1 species
AGAGUUUGAUCCUGGCUCAGGACGAACGCUGGCGGCGUGCCUAACACAUGCAAGUCGAACGGCCCGACCUGACGGAAUCCUUCGGGAUGAAGACAGGAUGCGGGCAGUGGCGGACGGGUGAGUAACGCGUGGAGAACCUGUCUAUCAGUCCGGGAUAACCUGGCGAAAGUCGGGCUAAUACCGGAUGGCCUUUAGAGAUAGCAUUAUCUUUAAAGGAAAGGUCCUACGGGACUGCUGGAAGGAGGCUCCGCGUCGGAUUAGCUAGCUGGUGGGGUAACGGCUCACCAGGGCGACGAUCCGUAGCUGGUCUGAGAGGACGAUCAGCCACACUGGGACUGAGACACGGCCCAGACUCCUACGGGAGGCAGCAGUGAGGAAUCUUGGGCAAUGGGCGAAAGCCUGACCCAGCGACGCCGCGUGGAGGAAGAAGGCCUUCGGGUCGUAAACCGCUGUUGUGGGAGAAGAAGGCCAGCCGACGAGGCAGGGGAGACGGUAUCUCACGAGAAAGCCCCGGCUAACUACGUGCCAGCAGCCGCGGUAAU